rnacentral:sRNA from 1 species
AACCACGGAGCCACGCCGGUGAACCGGUA